UCAACUUUCUCAAAGGGUGUUAUCUGUUAAGCAAAUAAAAAAAUAAAUAAAUAAAUGCUCGCCAUUUACGUGUGUUACGAUGGAUUUCCACAAGUAAACGAACAUCGCGUAGAAAUCACUGCGUUCUGCGAGUAAUCGGUCUUUAAUUCGUUUCCCUAAGGAGAAAUCGUGAUUAUUGCAACGUAAUAUAUACUCUGAUUGCUCGCUAUACAUGUAUUAAUCGAAUAACAUCUAUCUAUAAGAACACAUAAAGGUUAUCAAUGAUAUAAGGAAGAAGUUACGACGAGAAAUAAAAGAAAAUUUACAUACGUCAUCGCACAUCGAAACAUUACACAAGAAACGAUUGUGCGUAGAAUCUAAAGUUCAAUGUACAGUUCGUUCUAAGAAGACAACGGGAGUGUAGCGAUUUUUCUCUCAUUUUUCUGGCCAGUGCAGUGUUUCGGAAAGGAGAACGUAAUACGUCAAUUUGCACUAAACAAUUUGACGGAGAUUACGACGACAUUUAAACACUGGUUAUUCGAGCGUUAUUACAUUAACUCGCAUCCUACUUAGGUGGAUUUUUCAACUUCGCGGCUUCAACUUUAAUGUAAAAAAUGACAGCAACGUGUCUAUCGUACACGCUUAACAAGGAAAUUGGAAAAAGAACAUUCGCAAUAAAUACUAUAAUAAAAAACUGAAAUGCAAAAGGAUACAAACAAGCGAGUGUAUCGUUGUUAUCUUCCACAUCUUAUUAUCCUCCACGUGCAUUAUUCGAUUUGCCAACUAUAUAUGUACGUUUAUACGGAAUCGCUAAUCGACUUGUUUCUUAGAUUAACGUGGUGGUCGUCAACAAACUUGCCACAAUCAAGCCACUUGCAUAGCCGCGCACCAGGAUAUUAUGAUGCAAGCUGUAUGUCAACUUAAUCGGUGUUAAUAGAGUCACAUUUGCAUCGCAGUAAUGUAUACGCUUCGAAUGAACGUUUAAACGUUAGAUUUUUAAGGAAAUUGAGAUUUGUGGUAAUUGGAGUAUAAUAAAAAAUUGGUAUACACUAUCGUGUUUCCUAUAAGAUACGUUCAAAUAUUUUUCUCUUUCAUUUUUUCAGAUACUUGUCAAUUGCAAGAAAAACGCUGACCCAGAAUACAAGAUUCUGUAACUGUAUUUGUUAAUUUAUUCUUACAUUCUAAAAUAACACCGGGCGAAUUUUCAUAAUUUUGCUGUUUUAAAUUGAUUUGUAUAUCAUAAGUGACUUAUCUUCGUGACUACGUUAAUUAAAUAUAAUGUUUGUAGACGGAGGUUUAUUUAAGAAUAUAUACGGUGAAAGAUAAAUAUGCAUGAAUAUUUUUAAUGUUAAUUAAAUAUAAUGUUUGUAGACAGUGGUUUAUUUAAGAAUAUACACGGUGAAAGAUAAAUAUGCAUAAAUAUUUUUAAUGGCGUUCCUUUGUUUUCCGAAUACAUAAAAACCUGGACGUGUUUAAUAUUUGUACGUUGCAAAUAUCCGCGUUUUAUGAUUGCAGUGUGUGCGUUAAUAGCUGCAGCCACGUGAUAAUUAAUAUUCGGAUCGUAAAAAUGAUAAUAACGGUGAAAGUAUUUUUCUAACGUCUAAUUACGUAUGUAAUAUGUAAAACGUAUAAUUGCUUGAAUAUAUUAUCCAAAUGAUUUUUUUGCCUAUAA